rnacentral:rRNA from 1 species
CAGCAGCCGCGGGAAUACGUAGGGUGCGAGCGUUAAUCGGAAUUACUGGGCGUAAAGCGUGCGCAGGCGGUUAUAUAAGACAGAUGUGAAAUCCCCGGGCUCAACCUGGGAAUGGCAGUGGAUACUGGCUCGCUAGAGUGUGUCAGAGGAUGGUGGAAUUCCCGGUGUAGCGGUGAAAUGCGUAGAGAUCGGGAGGAACAUCAGUGGCGAAGGCGGCCAUCUGGGACAACACUGACGCUGAGGCACGAAAGCGUGGGGAGCAAACAGGAUUAGAUACCCCUGUAGUCCCUGUCUCUUAUAC